AACACCAACAAACACAGAGAAAGACAACACACAAACACUUUGGCCCUGCUGUGAGUGUAGAAACCAGGUAACCUGGCGACUCCCUUGGAUCCUACCAGUAUGGAGUUUAGCAAGUUUCAAUAGUGCAGAGUCCUCCUGACUCCCUCCAGGGGCCUGAAGUGUCCUCCAGAAUCCCCAGGGUCACAGAGUUAAGCCACAUCUGCCCUCUGCAAUUGACCCACACCAGGGUAGAGGCUUUCCAGCCAACACCAUGCUCAGGAGUCAAAAGUGAAAGCAAAAGACCAGAGACAAACAGCAGUAGGUGCCUGUUGCUGAGUUUGUCCUUUUGCACUCUGAUAGGUCUCCAGGGAUGGGGGCAGGGGUGUCUACCCAAAUUCAGGACGACCCUCCCACCCCACAACCCUCUUUCAGUGGUACUUACUUCGAGAUAACCCCGAGUGAGACACCGAGAUGCAGAUCAAUGGAAAAGCAAGAGGUUUAUUUUUCAUCACUUCAGGGUCAACCUUCAAUUAGUCCCUCAAGCAAGUGCAGACAGAGCUCAGCAGUUUGCAGUCCUCUGGUGAUCCCUGGAUGGAGUUUGCCAGCCACUUGAGAAUCUGCUGAGAUAUCAUAGACUCCCAGGGGCACAAGGUAUAAUUUCCUAGUAAUUGGAGAAGGAACAAUUGUGGGUCAAAAAUCUGCAGGUGGAUUGGUGUCCCCAUCCCUCCACUGGUGACCCUGUCUGACUACUAGAGGUGAGCACUUCCGGUCCCAUCUCCUCACUGGUGGGCAUUUGGGCCAAGGUCUCUCACAUCUCAGAUCUCUAGGACUUUCUAGGGGUUACCACCUUCCAUGAUGGCAUACCCCCCUCUCCCCGAGUGCCUCAACUCCCAUCACCCACCCCUGAGAACAGCAUGUUUCUAUUCAUUCUCCUGGCCCUCUGGGCUUCUCUCUCCUGUCUUCCCCCCAAUGUCUGAUCCUGUUCUCCCUUUUCCCUUCUCCCUCCCCUCUGCCACUCAGGUCCCUCCCUCCCUCUGCCUCCCAUGAUUAUUUUGUUCCCCCUUGUAAGUGAGAUUGAAGCACCCUCACUUGGGAGUUCCUUCUUGUUUAACUCUUCAGACUGUGGGAUGUAUCAUGAGUCUUCUGUACAUUUUGGCUGAUAUCCAUUUUUCAGUCAAGGGACAAUCUGAUUUGCUUCCAGUUUCUGGGUAUUAUGAAUAAGGCUGCUGUGAACAUAAUGGAGCAUGUGUCCUUGUGGUAUUGUGGAGCAUCUUUUGGGCAUAUGCCCAGGAGUUGUAUAGCUGAAUCUUCAGGUAGAACAAUUUCCAGUUUUCUGGGGGAACUGCCAGACUGAUUUCCAGAGUGGUUGAACAAGUUUGCAAUCCUGUUUUCAAUGGACGAGUGGGGUUCUUUUGGUUGUUUGUUUGUUUGCUUUUUACAUUUUCAAAUUCUGAUCUAUUUUAUGUUAAUUUUUAAAAUGUUCUUAUUAGAUAUAUUUCUUUACUUUCAUUUUAAACAUUAAUCCCCUUCCCUGUUUCCUGUCCACAAGACCCCCCCAUAAGGGUAUUCCCCCUAUAAACUCCCCUUAUACACCCCCCCAUAUCCCCUGCACUUGGGUUCCAACCUUGGCAGGACCAAGGCUUCAGAUUCCACCCUUGCCCCAAGAAGUCUAUUCUCUGCUACAUAUGCUGUUGGAGCUAUGGGUCAGUUCAUGUAUAGGUUUUCAGUAGUAGUUUAGUCCCUGGACACUCAGGUUUGCAUUGUUGUUCUUAGUGGGAUGCGAGCCCCUUGGGCUCUUUCAAUCCUUCCUUUAAUUCCCCCAAUGGGUCCUGUUCU